GACUUCUCUCAACCACAUCGUCUUUGUCAAUGUGGCUUGGAUGUGGGGGAAUUUCUUUGCGGGCUUUUUUAAUUUAAUAAGAAGCCAGCUCCCCUGAAAUGCAUUAGUGGUGUCUGAGCUGCUAUUGGUGUGAUAAUUUAUCUAUGCCUUUGGUAAUGCUGGUCAGUGCUGCUUAUAACAAGACAAAAUUCAUUUGACAA
rnacentral:misc_RNA from 1 species